AACAAAUUCUGGCCACAAAAUAGAGCGAAACACCAACGUCAAAGACCUGGGAGUGAUUAUGUCGGAGGAUCUCACCUUCAAGGACCAUAACAUUGUAUCAAUCGCAUCUGCUAGAAAAAUGACAGGAUGGAUAAUGAGAACCUUCAAAACUAGGGAGGCCAAGCCCAUGAUGACACUCUUCAGGUCACUUGUUCUAUCUAGGCUGGAAUAUUGCUGCACUCUAACAGCACCUUUCAAGGCAGGUGAAAUUGCCGACCUAGAAAAUGUACAGAGAACUUUCACGGCGCGCAUAACGGAGAUAAAACACCUCAAUUACUGGGAGCGCUUGAGGUUUCUAAACCUGUAUUCCCUGGAACGCAGGAGGGAGAGAUACAUGAUUAUAUACACCUGGAAAAUCCUAGAGGGACUAGUACCGAACUUGCACACGAAAAUCACUCACUACGAAAGCAAAAGACUUGGCAGACGAUGCACCAUCCCCCCAAUGAAAAGCAGGGGUGUCACUAGCACGUUAAGAGACCAUACAAUAAGUGUCAGGGGACCGAGACUGUUCAACUGCCUCCCAGCACACAUAAGGGGGAUUACCAACAGACCCCUGGCAGUCUUCAAGCUGGCACUGGACAAGCACCUAAAGGCAGUUCCUGAUCAGCCGGGCUGUGGCUCGUACGUUGGUUUGCGUGCAGCCAGCAGCAACAGCCUGGUUGAUCAGGCGCUGAUCCACCAGGAGGCCUGGUCACAGACCGGGCCGCGGGGGCGUUGACCCCCGAAACUCUCUCCAGGUAAACUCCAGGUAAACGUUAUGCUCAGCAUUUCGGGCAAAUUAGGUCAGUGUCCCAGGAUGCGACCCACACCAGUCGACUAACACCCAGGUACCCAUUUUCUGAUGGGGAACAUAGACAACAGGUGGAAAGAAACACAUCCAAUGUUUCUACUCUGGCUGGGAAUCGAACCCAGACCCUCGCCGUGUGAAGCGAGAGCUUUAGCCACCAUCAUUAAAUCAUUAAAAGACAAGCCAGGAGAUCUAGAUAAGUUGCCACCAUUCAUAUAUAAAAAAGCUGCUCAUGUGCUGUCACCCAUUAUUGCAAUACUAUUUAACAAAUCUGUAGAGUCCUCAACCUUCCCAUCCAUACUCAAGAUAGGAAGGGUCACCCCGAUCCUCAAAGGAGGUGAUCCAACUGAUUUGAACAACUGUAGACCUAUAUCAAACGUGUCCUUUCUAAAAUAUUCGAAAAAAUACACAAGCGAUUUAACUCCUACUUUAUAUCCAACAGUAAAAAAAGUACAAAUGAUGCUAUUAUACAAAUCAAAUACUUGGACUAAUAUAUCAGCCCUCAAUGAAAAUGAAUGUCCUCUUGGGGCUCUUCAUUGACCUAAGGAAAGCAUUUGAUACCGUGGACCACAAUCUCCUGCACCUAAAACUAAAUCAUUACGGCAACAGAGGACAUUCCCUCGAUUACCUAAAAUCUUAUCUUAACGAUGGACACCACGGUGCCCCGUGGCCUGGUGGCUAAAGCUCUUAGCUGGUUCAUUACCUUUGUAACUUGCCAUGAUUGUGACCAGAUCUACCUGGAGUUCAUUACCUUUGUAACUAGUUCAGCUAUCAUAACUUUGGGGUCCAGUCCCUGGACCCAUUAUGUACCUUUGUAAUCUUUUGACUACCGCCCACAGGAUGGGUAUGGGGUGCAUAAUAAAGAUAUUAAACUAACUUCACACGGCGAGGUAAUUGGUAAUCGAAGCCGGAGGUUCAAUUACCAACGAGGGUAGAAACAUUGGGCGUGUUUCCUUACACCGGUUGUCUAUGUUCCCCAUCAGUAAAAUGGGUACCUGGGUGUUAGUUGACUGGUGUGGGUCGCAUCCUGGGACAAAACUGACCUAAUUUGCCCGAAAUACUCUGCAUGACAAGCAGCUUUCUAUGUCAUUGAUGUCAGCUAGGUAUGUAUACCCUGUAUGUGUACUUGUAGAAAUAAAGAUAUUAUAUUAUGUAUACGCAUAGUGGAAUUAACUCCACUAUGCAGCCUGUAGCUGUCGGAGUGCCCCAGGGUAGUGUCCUAGGUCCACUCCUUUUUCUCAUCUACAUCAAUGAUCUUCCCAAUGCAUCCCAAGUCCUUAAACCAGUUCUAUUCGCAGAUGACACUACUUAUGUUGGAACUUAUUCGGUCCGAGAAGUCCCAACAGGGAAAAACACACCGUUCGAGGGCCCUUAAACCCACCCAAAACAAAAACACACUCACCCGGGUUGGCGUAAGUGGAUGGAAGGUACUACUUAAUUUAUAGAUUUACCCUUCAGGGAAGAAGUAGGUAGUUUAUACUGUUAGUACACUAAUAUUAGGAUUAUUGAGGCAACUGUAGAUAAUAAUAAUGUAGACCUAAGACCUUAACAUAGGUAGUAAUAGGCCGAUAAUGUAGGCAAACACUAGGUUAAGUUAGCUAGGGAGAACUGGCAGCCCAAGUUUGAACGACGAGGCGCGGGUCUCGAAGACGCCAGAUCUUUCUUCUAUGACUAGACACCAUCUGGACAACACGUGCCGUGAUCAGCAGACGGCGCCCCCCACGUGUCUUCACAUAUGAGACCUGGGGAAAUCUGGUGGAGGCACCCCAAUGUACCGUAGAUGACCUCUGUCAGGCCCAUACAGUAAGACAAAACCUCCACUUUUUCUUAGGAUUUCUGGCCAGUGUCUGGGGAAAAUUGCGAGCGAGUCGAGCUGUGGCCUUUGUGCAGCCGGCAGUUAAUGACCAGUACGUGAUUUUGUCUCUUGCCUACCUAGAAGCUAGUGUCCAUUUCUGCAUAGUUAUACUAGGGGAUACACACCCUCUUGGAUACAGGAAUUUCUGAGGUGCAGACAGGUCACUAAUAUCGAUUGAAAAUUGCAGGAAUUAUGGCUCCAGGUUGCACGUGGUUUCUGAGGGUAAGUCCAAAGGGGCUAAGCUUAGGGAGGUUGAAGAUCAGGAUAUAUGCUGCAACACCAAGUAAGUUAGUCCUUUAAACGUGCAUGCAGGCGAGGUUUCUUGCAACAUCAGUCAUUUAUGAAAAUCUGUCCUAUAAGCCACUUGUGAGGCUGAGAUACCGACCUCAGAGCUCGGUGUCAACAGAGCUUGCCAGGGUAGGCGACUCACUUGGAGGCAGUACAGACACAUUUUCACAACUUAUGUCUACUCCCACUCAAACCCAGCUAUACUUAGAGACACUGUAAACAACGAGCUGCUAAAAAUAUAUACCAGGAUGAUGACCAACAGACUCACUCUCAACACAGACAAAAUAUACUUUAUGCUGUUUGGAAACAGAGCCUUAAAUAUCCAACUUAAUAUAUCGAUAAAUGGUUCCCCUAUAUCAAGACACACUGAGGGUAAAUCUCUAGGUCUUCUCCUUGACUGGAAUCUUAAAUUUCAUUCCCACAUCCAGCAUAUAUCCAAGAAAAUUUCCAAAUCAGUAGGCAUCCUUUCCAAGAUACGAUACUAUGUACCCCAAAAGACACUCUUUACCCUAUACCACUUGUUAAUAUAUCCUUACCUCACCGGGUCGCGGGGGCGUUGACCCCCGAAACCCACUCCAGGUAAAUGGUAUCUGUGCCUGGGGAUCAACCACAGCCAUCUCCCUAAACCUUUAAUAGCCCAACAACAAAAUAAAAGCUGCUGUGCGGAUGAUUACCAGCUCCUGUGCUAGAUUUAGAUUAGAUUUUGCCACCGAAGUGGCUAGUUUAUUGUGCACCCCAUAUCCAUCCUGUGGACGGUAGCGCGAGAGCAUAUGGAUACACAAAAGGCCUAGGAACUAGGCCCCAAAGGGUUAACAGGAAUACAUAUGGAUUUAUAUCUACAUAUCUAUAGUUCACUUAUCUGUUGCAAGCAAAUUUAGGAAAUUUGCUUAGUAUAUCUGGUAUCUUAUUUUCAUUAAUAAGAUAUCUUGACAUGUCACAUAGGUUAUUAUACUGUCUGUCUCUGUAUUCCUCAAUAAGUGGACAAUUAAGCACAUAGUGUUCAAGAGAGUGACCAUAUCCCUGAUCACAUAAUUUACAUUUAGUUUGAUCAUCAUCUGUGUAUCUCCCAAACUGCCAGAAGUACUUGUAACCAAGACUAAGCCUGGCCACUACAACAUCAGUCAGUCUGUUCACAUUGCACGUUGCUCCAUAAACAUCCUGUGCUAGACGGCACACCCACCACUUUUCAGAAGCCUGAACUUGCUAAAUACACGAGACAUACAUUCAUGUUAUUGUGCCUACUACUUAUACAGAACAUUAAACUCCAAUAUAAACCCUCCACUUAAACUUUUUGAUAGCUACAACAGAACACAGUCACAAUGCAAGGCAUAAGGCACUCGUCGACAUCCCUCGUGUCAGCCUCACACUCUGCAAAAAUGUAAUGCAUAUGAAGGGCCUGAAGAUCUGGAAUUCACUACCUGAACCGGUAAAGGAUACCCUGACUACUUAUAAAUUUAGGUCUUUGCUUAAAAAUCAUCUCAUCUCAAUACUAACCAAAACAACUAAUAAGUUAUUAUAAGACCUCGAGUCUUAAACAUCUGCCAAUCCAUGAAAUAUUACUGUUUGAACCACUUAUUGUAAUAUUGUUUUUAUUAUGUGCAACUUCAAGAUUAUUCUUAUAAACCUCCACUUUGACUACUACGCAUUAAUAUUAAGAUUAAAUGAAGAUUUUAAUAAAAGUUAACCACUCUUAUCUUGUCUAGAUUUAAGCAGUUAUUAUGUACUAGUAUUAGUCUGCCCGAAAUGCCUCGGCAUGAUUGUGUCUUUCUUUGUACUUAGCAAAGAAAAUUGUAAUUAUACAAUGUAACCUUCCUUACACAAUGUAACGUUCCUUUGAAAACUUGAAAAUUGUAUUACCUACACUCGAGCAACAACAUCAAACCACCACCACUAUGAUGCACAAGAAUUGAAGGUUUGAAGCCGAUCGAAGAAGCCAUUUUCAAUUUAUCACGCCCCUCAAGGGGGGGUUCCUUGAUACUUGUGAGGGGCUCUUAAUCUUGAGAAUUGGACCAAAAUGGAAAUAAGUCACUGACUUUUUUGGGUUAUCUUAGGUAAUCUACACAUAUGUUGCUAUGUAAGAUAAUGUAACUGUAUUUAUAUUUACCUGUACCUGAAUAAACUUACUCUUUGUGCUCCAGUUCCAAGUAACCCUGAAUGCUCUCCAUCCCCUUCCUCAGGUGCUGUAUAGUCCCUAAGGGCUUUGUGGAAAAUUGCAUUUAUCUGAAUGUAACUAAUUAUGUAAAUAACAGUAAAUGAUAACAAAGAUAAAUAUUAUUUAUCAAUGUUACAUAGACAAGUAGGAAUUUGGGACACCUAGGUCGCAAAAAAUGUCCCCCUUCGAUACCUACCACUGUCAUAACCACAAGUUGCUCUGGACCUAUUAUUAGCGCUGUAUAGUCCUUGUGGCUUAGCGCUUCUUUUUGAUUAUAAUAAUAAUAAUAAUCUGGACCUAUUAAUUAAAUGAAAUAUACAUACACCAGGAAUACUGGUAAAUAUAUAAAUUUGUGGACUGUAUAUUAAAAAUAAUAAAUGGUUAUAUAUAUACACAAUUACAUAACAGAAGGAAAAUAUAUCUUAAUAUCACUCACCAAUUUGACUGGAGAUUAAUGUGCAUCAUACUCAGAAAACCUCAUUCUAACUAAAUCUAUGAAAAUAAUGCUGGCCAGAAUUACACACAAAUCUAGAGAGCUUAUCUGAGGUUCCUGGAGCUCUCUUGUCCAGUCGUCUGAUAUCUCAAGUUAUGCAGGAAUGCACAUCCACCAAUUUCGCCUCUUAUUUGAGAGGUGUCAACACAAUUUUAACCUCUAGAGCACGAAAAAUUCUUCCCAUUACACCACGUUUGUACAAAAUUCAAAACCAAGAUGGCGAGUCUCGUCUGCGCAGACGCAGGCUUUCCGUUUUCUAUGACAUAAAUAUUAUUAAAUACAGUAUGGCCAUCUAUUUACAUAUAAAUGCUGAAUUUCUGGAAAAUAUAUACAGUAUUUUCCACAGGUUUACCACAUCCCUAUAAUCUGCAUAAAAUGCACCAGUAUUGAUGGUUUGAAGCCGAUUAAAAGAGCCAUUCUCAAGUUAUUGCGAGUAUUCCUAAACAAGGAAAGGCACUAUAAAUUAGCAACACUUCAUAAAAUGUAAAUCACACAUUCUAACCUUUACAAAGACAUAAAAUUUGUAUUUGAUAUGGCACCUGUACAUGCCAAUACUCGUACGAACCCUUCCUUAGUUAUAACAAA